AAGGAAUUAGUUUAACUUAAAACAUUAGAUUGUCAAACUAAAAAUAUUAUAUAAUAUUCCUUA
rnacentral:tRNA from 1 species